CCUGGUGGCAUCACUGUGUUCGAAGAUACAUUGCCCUGUUGAAGCUAAUCUUGCCUAGAGAUGGUCCUUUUACUGGCCAUGGAAGGACCUUUCAUUGGAACUCACUGAUUCACAGAAGAUGGAUGAACUCCAUGCUUGUCAAACUCUCUCGAGUCAUUUUUGCUAAUGGAAUUUCAAGAAAAUCAUUAAGUUUGCAGGUAUUAUCGCCUUUAAAUGUGGACAGAUCUGGUGUGUAUGAAUGGGAAAAAAGCAUUAUAAGAGCUUGAAGGGUGAUCACUCCCAAGAUUUAUUA